CCCUUAGAUGUUCUGGGCCGCACGCGCGCUACACUGAUGCAUUCAACGAGUUUCUUCCUGGUCCGAGAGGAAUGGGUAACCUUUUGAAAGUGCAUCGUGAUAGGGAUAGACUAUUGCAAUUAUUGGUCUUCAACGAGGAAUUCCUAGUAGACGUAGUUCAUCAGACUGCAUCGAUUACGUCCCUGCCCUUUGUACACACCGCCCGUCGCUCCUACCGAUUGAAUGCUCAGGAGAGCCAUUCGGACUUUCAUCAUGCUGGUUUCCAGUUUUGAUGAAGGAAAGUCUUGCGAACCUUAUCAUUUAGAGGAAGGAGAAGUCGUAACA
rnacentral:rRNA from 1 species